rnacentral:antisense_RNA from 1 species
UCUAUGGCGGAACGGAGGGGGACACCUUCGGGUGUGCUGGCCACGUUUGACCAGUCUGCUAACCCCUUUCGUUCUGCCACCA